rnacentral:lncRNA from 13 species
CACACACACACACACACACUGCUCCCCUGUCUCUCCCCCUGCCCACCCCAGUUCAAGGGCUAUCAGAGUCAUCACAGUUCUUCUGUCAUCAUCUUCAUUCAUCAAAGAGAGAAGAGAGUUAAGAGCCCCCCUCUCAACCAAUGGCCUUUCCCCAUUCAACAUGUCUCCCACCCUCUUGGUUUUCUUCUGCCAAUUACCUCUCUGCUCAAGCCUCCUUAGGUUGAUCUCCACCAAUCAUGUCUCUCCAUCUAUGGCCUGUGUUGGUCUUAGUCUGUCCACCACCUGUUUCACUUCAAUAUGUCUCUUACGCUUUGAAUGCAACCUGCUAACAGACANNNNNNNNNNGAGAGAGAGAGAGAGAGAGAGAUGGAAGCGUUGAGGGAGAGAUGGAAUUGGAGAGAGAGGGAGAGUUGGAAUUGGCCAGAAAAUCACAGUGAGGUAUUGCAGUUAUGGAUUUGCGAAUGCGAGAGCUUGAGAUGGGAGAUAGGUAGAGAGAACCAGCCAGCUAGAGAGAGAUGAGGAGUGGUUUGAGAAAAAAGGAGCGAGAAAGGUGGACAGAGAUUAGACAAAAGGAGAAGGCAAAAGUGGACAAAGAUGGGACGGAGAGAGAGAGAUGGAAAAGAGAGGAGGGGGAGUGGAGGAUUUCCUGAUUUGUUUGUUCCUCUCACACACUUUUCUUCCUGGCCGUCUGUAUUUAGACUUCCUCUUCCACUGGGGCUAUUCUGAGACACCUCACUCACUGCUGUUGUUCCCCAGACAGCUCUGAUUACCCCUCAGCAUACUGGGCUGGUGUGUGAGUACGUGUGUGUGCAUGCGUACGUGCUUGUGUGCUUGUGAGUGUGUUUGAGUUUGAGCGACUGGGUGAGUAUUUAGAAGUGUGGGUGCUGUGACAGAAUUGAGUGGGAGGAUUAUGCCCCCCAAACUCAUUAGCGGAUAAUGACCUUUUUUCAUUCAUGUGUCUUUGAAAGACUGAUAGAAAGAAAGAAAGAAAGAAAGAAAGAAAGAAGGACAAAAAGAAAGAAGAGAGGACAUCAAGAGAAUGGCAGCAGGUGCGAUCAAAAACAAUACCCACAUCACAGGUGCCACAAAACAGCGGAUCUUUGAGUUUUGGGAUCCCAGCAUGGCUCUAGUCUCUGUGUGGAAAAUGAGGAGGCCAAUGCUGAACCCACAGGUGCAGAGGCCUGAGAAACAGCCCAUUGACUAAUACACACGAGGCACUGAAGCACAAUCAUAGGAUGUGCUAUGCUCUGAGAGGCUGUUAGCGCUCUCUCUUUCUCACACUCACACACACACACACACACACACACACACACACACACACACACACACACACACACAGUUUUGAUUAACAAGGUUUACACAAGUGCCUUUCUCCUACUGUGUUUUCUCCAAUUGUGUUUGUGUGCAUGUGUGUGUGCGUGCUUACAACAGACCUGCAGUGGGAACCCCCAUCUGGAACCUUCUACCCUCUCUUCCUGUUUACCAUGAUUGCCUACGUACAGAUCUGAAGCCUCUAUCCCCCUUAACAACAACACCCUUCCUCUCCAGUCAGUCUAUGUCCUUUAUGUAAGUGCUUCUCAAGCCAUUUAGCAUUGUGAUCCACCUUUUAGCAUUGUGAUCCACCUUUUAGCAUUGUGAUCCACCUUUUAGCAUUGUGGUCCACCAUUUAGCAUUGUGAUCCACCUUUUAGCAUUGUGGUCCACCAUUUUGCACUGUGAUCCACCUUUUAGCAUUGUGAUCCACCAUUUUGCACUGUGAUCCACCUUUUAGCAUUGUGGUCCACCAUUUUGCACUGUGAUCCACCUUUUAGCAUUGUGGUCCACCAUUUUGCACUGUGAUCCACCUUUUAGCAUUGUGGUCCACCAUUUAGCAUUGUGGUCCACCUUUUAGCAUUGUGGUCCACCAUUUAGCAUUGUGGUCCACCUAAAGCCUAUUGAAUUUAUGUGACCCGCCAAACCGUUCCAAUGUGGUCCAUUUUGAAUAGCACUGAAAACGCGAGUUAAUUGCAGAAUGUCUAAUACUUCAAUGUGAUUGAUCGAACCAUUAGCUGA